UGCCAUCAGCCGCGGUAAUACGAAGGGGGCGAGCGUUGUUCGGAAUUACUGGGCGUAAAGGGCGCGUAGGCGGUCUUUUAAGUUAAGCGUGAAAGCCCCGGGCUCAACCCGGGAACUGCGCUUAAGACUGGAAGACUAGAAAACGGAAGAGGGUAGUGGAAUUCCCAGUGUAGAGGUGAAAUUCGUAGAUAUUGGAAAGAAUACCAGUGGCGAAGGCGACUAACUGGGCCAUCUUUGACGCUGAGAUACGAAAGCGUGGGUAGCAAACAGGAUUAGAUA
rnacentral:rRNA from 1 species